rnacentral:lncRNA from 1 species
GUACCUCAUAGGAAAUCAUCUGUCUCUCCUUCAAUGAUCAUGGCCUCUGUACGCAGGAGAGUUGACAGGAUUCUACUGGGUGACUCCACAGGACACUGAGGGACUUUAGCCACCCUUCCUGAGGCCUGGCAUAUCACAGAACUUGCUGGAAGUCACUUGUGAGGCAAGCCCUUGGCCAGCAGCACUGAGUAUGACAUUAUCUGCUGUGAGGGAUGUCUAAUAUCAGAUCAUCUACGUGACCUUGUCCAACAAGGACAGAAGUAAAUAUCUUCCACGCACAUGCCAUUCAAUCCACGCAACAGCCCAGGGAGGAGGACUGCUGUUUCUACUCACACUGUGCAAGUGGAUGUACAGAAAGGCGGAGCCACUGGAGCUUAACUUCCACCCACCCUCAGCUGUUUUACACCUGCACCCUCAGGGAGGCUGCAACUCGAUUUUUUAUGAGGUUAAUGGGAAAAUGUGCUGUCUGAUAAGGGCCCCAGCAGAAGAGGAAACAGCCCAGGGGUAGACUUUAGCAAGAAAGAACUGAAAACUUGAGAAUGAUGGUAGACUGCCGCAAGUCCCUUUCGGAUGUCACCUGUCCCCUCUUGCUGUAACAGUGAAGGCCUAUGCUUGCAUCUCAGUUUUGACACGACUACCCAGAAGUGUCUACAUAAGCACUCAACAGCUCCUACUUGGUUUAAAUCUCACUUCCCCUAAGAAGCCUUCCUGGACCUUCCAAAGGGUAUCUUUGAUGUGUGCUAACAUAAUCACUCAUAGUGGCCGAUAUGCACCCCCCCCAAGCCUGCUGAUGCUAAACUUUCUUUCUAAAUGGGGAAGUAUUUGCCGACAUAACCCACACACAACCUCUGUUAUAUCCCACACAAUCCCCAGGUUACUCAUAAUCUUAGAACAACCUGAAUGCUUUGUUAACAUUUGUUAUACUCUAUUGUUCAAUAAACAACCAAG